CGCUGCCAUCUGCUGGGGUUGGCCCACAUGGCACCCGGGUGGUGAUGCCGGCACGCCAGGUCUGCAGUCCCAGAGGGGGUCCCGCAGGACCAGCCAAGAGGUUAUCAGGCUGCUCCCAGGAUAGAAAUCCAAGAGCUGCUCGCCCCAUCGAAGGCCAAAAUGAGCGUGAGCUGGAACCCUGCCUUUUCUUAUUUAAACGGCACCGGGGAUACGGCAGUAAGCAAACCCACCCCUGCUCUCCCGGAUCUUCCGUUCUGGAGAGGAACCCAUGAGACAGAGGAUCACAUGGCAUCAUCAGAUGUCACUGUGCACCAGAAGAAAACGAAGCAGGGAGCGGCCCUCACAGAGGCCAGCAUGGCAUGAGGCCCAUUUGGAUCCCAAAGGUUACCUCUGUCCUCUGAAGCAUACAAAACUCCAUUUCAACUGCAGCCUUCCAGAGAAUAACCCUGACCAAUGGAGCCCAGGUGGACACCAGCCCUAAUUAUCGUCUUUCUGAUAAAGAUUGCUGGAAGCUCAAAAUGCCUGACAAGAGGUGCCAGGAGGCAGAGGGACAAGCCAGCCAACAGAGGAAGUCACCCAGAAACCCAGGGAGUUGAAAUCCCUUCUCAAGGGCUUGGUUUCAAAAAACAAAUGUUUUGGGGCACCUGGGUGGCUCAGUCGUUAAGCGUCUGCCUUCGGCUCAGGUCAUGAUCCCAGGGUCCUGGGAUCGAG